rnacentral:lncRNA from 1 species
CAUUCAUACAUGUCAGUUAGCUAGAACACUGGUGAUAUAGAAAACCAUGCACAUCUUUCUGCUUGGGUGUGCAAGAUGCAUUGGCAACAAUGCUACGGUUGGCACAUGCAUGCAUUUACGUAUGAUGCGUGAAGCUUUGAUAGAUGGAUCAGGAUGUGCAAAGGUGAUUUUGCGUAAUAAUAUAUGAAGGUUUGCAUUGCUUAGGAUGUGCCUGGCUCCCUGUAUGCCACUCAUCUAGAGCAACGACAGCUUGGUAGGGUUGCCUAUAAGAUGGAUGGCGUGCAUGGUGCCAAGCAUAUCUCGCCAUUUUUGUUGUAGCUCAUUUU